UUCUGACCUGCUUUAACUGCCUCAA
rnacentral:misc_RNA from 1 species